ensembl:snRNA U6 U6 spliceosomal RNA
GUGCUCGCUUCAGCAGCACAUAUAGUAAACUGGGACGAAACAGCGAAGAUUAGCAUGGCCCCUGUAUAAGGAUGACAUGCACAUUCACGAAACGUUCCGUACUUUG